rnacentral:rRNA from 1 species
CUACGGGCCGCUCCAGUGGGGAAUAUUGCACAAUGGGCGCAAGCCUGAUGCAGCAACGCCGCGUGGGGGACGACGGCCUUCGGGUUGUAAACCUCUUUUAGUAGGGAAGAAGCGCAAGUGACGGUACCUACAGAAAAAGCACCGGCUAACUACGUGCCAGCAGCCGCGGUAAUACGUGGGGUGCAAGCGUUGUCCGGAAUUAUUGGGCGUAAAGAGCUCGUAGGCGGUUUGUCGCGUCUGCUGUGAAAAUCCGAGGCUCAACCUCGGACCUGCAGUGGGUACGGGCAAACUAGAGUGCGGUAGGGGAGAUUGGAAUUCCUGGUGUAGCGGUGGAAUGCGCAGAUAUCAGGAGGAACACCAAUGGCGAAGGCAGAUCUCUGGGCCGUAACUGACGCUGAGGAGCGAAAGCGUGGGGAGCGAACAGGAUUAGAUACCCUCGUAGUC